GUGUGGAAUUUCGAAGGGCCAACUCGUGUUUCCUCAGUCCGGUGUUGACACACCUCCCACUUUGUCGGACGUAUGACCUGCACAGCUAAGUGCAACUUAGUACACCACGCCGAACCCGGUUGUGCCGAACGGGCAUGGUGUACUGAUUUUGCAUUUUUUGUGCUCGUGUGACGGUGGACAUUGUUUAAAAUUCGAGUGUUCAGAGAUGUUUUGACACCUGGUUACACAGAGAUCAAUGAGAAACUUACAAAGCAUUCCCUCCAAAAUCUGUGGCGCGAUGGUGAAGGAUCACAAAAUUAGAGCUUUGCCAUGACCACUUAGUGAUGAAGCUAAGUGAAAAAGUAUGGCUUCAGAGGUGGCUGCGCUUAAUCACGGAUGUGCUCAUUCCUUCCACAAAGCAUCCAAGAUCUUCCAGGCUUCAGAUGACAUAUGUGCAUUGGACCUGCCUCUUCACAGAAAUCAUUAUACUGUUCCUCGUCUUUGUCAUCUCUGGAACAGUCUCCUUCAUGGGUGUCAGUACAAGGUCAACUGCAUUCCUGCCAGCACUGCAGCUAUGUGACCAAGAAAAAGGCUGAUAUGAAGAGACACCUUCGCAUGCAUACGGGCGAGCGCCCCUUCCAGUGUAACCUGUGCCCAG